rnacentral:tRNA from 1 species
UGUAUAAAAGUGUUUAGCACAAAAGAUUUUGAUUCUUUUAGAUUUAAUUAAAUUUAAUAUAUACAA